GCUGAGUGUGGUGGUGCAUGCCUAUAAUCCCAGCUACGGGGAGGCUAGUGCACUAUACUGAUCAGGUGCCUACACUAGUUCGGCACCAAUAUGGUAACCUCCCAGGAGCAGGGGACUAUCAACCAGGUUGCAUGUGUUGAUUCUAAUGGAAUCACACCUGUGAAUAGCCAGGACACU
rnacentral:sRNA from 1 species